ACUCCUACGGGAGGCAGCAGUGGGGAAUUUUGCGCAAUGGGGGAAACCCUGACGCAGCAACGCCGCGUGAGUGAUGAAGGCCUUCGGGUCGUAAAGCUCUGUCAGAGGGAAAGAAAUGCGGGGUGUUAAUACCAUUUCCGCUUGACGGUACCCUCAAAGGAAGCACCGGCUAACUCCGUGCCAGCAGCCGCGGUAAUACGGAGGGUGCGAGCGUUGUUCGGAAUUAUUGGGCGUAAAGCGCGUGUAGGCGGUUCUGUAAGUCUGAUGUGAAAGCCCCGGGCUCAACCUGGGAAGUGCAUUGGAUACUGCAAGACUUGAGUACGGGAGAGGGCAGUGGAAUUCCUAGUGUAGGAGUGAAAUCCGUAGAUAUUAGGAGGAACACCGGUGGCGAAGGCGGCUGCCUGGACCGAUACUGACGCUGAGACGCGAAAGCGUGGGGAGCAAACAGGAUUAGAUACCCUGGUAGUCCACGCCGUAAACGAUGAGAACUAGGUGUUGCGGGUA
rnacentral:rRNA from 1 species